GACGAACGCUGGCGGCGUGCUUAACACAUGCAAGUCGAACGGAAAGGCCCUGCUUUUGUGGGGUGCUCGAGUGGCGAACGGGUGAGUAACACGUGAGUAACCUGCCCUUGACUUUGGGAUAACUUCAGGAAACUGGGGCUAAUACCGGAUAGGAGCUCCUGCUGCAUGGUGGGGGUUGGAAAGUUUCGGCGGUUGGGGAUGGACUCGCGGCUUAUCAGCUUGUUGGUGGGGUAGUGGCUUACCAAGGCUUUGACGGGUAGCCGGCCUGAGAGGGUGACCGGCCACAUUGGGACUGAGAUACGGCCCAGACUCCUACGGGAGGCAGCAGUGGGGAAUAUUGCACAAUGGGCGGAAGCCUGAUGCAGCAACGCCGCGUGCGGGAUGACGGCCUUCGGGUUGUAAACCGCUUUCGCCUGUGACGAAGCGUGAGUGACGGUAAUGGGUAAAGAACCACCGGCUAACUACGU
rnacentral:rRNA from 1 species